AGAGUUUGAUCCUGGCUCAGGAUGAACGCUAGUGGGAGGCUUAACACAUGCAAGUCGAGGGGCAGCACGAGGUAGCAAUACUUUGGUGGCGACCGGCGCACGGGUGAGUAACACGUAUGCAACCUACCCUGUACAGGGGGAUAGCCCGGAGAAAUUCGGAUUAAUACCCCAUAAUGAUAUUGAAAGGCAUCUUUUAAUAUUUAAAGUUUCAACGGUACGGGAUGGGCAUGCGCAACAUUAGCUAGUUGGUAGGGUAACGGCCUACCAAGGCUACGAUGUUUAGGGGACCUGAGAGGGUGAUCCCCCACACUGGUACUGAGACACGGACCAGACUCCUACGGGAGGCAGCAGUGAGGAAUAUUGGUCAAUGGGCGUAAGCCUGAACCAGCCAUCCCGCGUGCAGGAAGACAGCGCUAUGCGUUGUAAACUGCUUUUCCAGGGGAAGAAAACCCGCUACGUGUAGCGGUUUGCCGGUACCCUGGGAAUAAGCAUCGGCUAACUCCGUGCCAGCAGCCGCGGUAAUACGGAGGAUGCGAGCGUUAUCCGGAUUUAUUGGGUUUAAAGGGUGCGUAGGCGGAUUGAUAAGUCAGUGGUGAAAACCUUCAGCUUAACUGGAGAAUUGCCAUUGAUACUGUUAGUCUUGAGUACGGUCAAGGUAGGCGGAAUGUGUAAUGUAGCGGUGAAAUGCUUAGAUAUUACACAGAACACCGAUUGCGAAGGCAGCUUACUGGGCCAUUACUGACGCUGAUGCACGAAAGCGUGGGGAGCGAACAGGAUUAGAUACCCUAGUAGUCC
rnacentral:rRNA from 1 species